CUAGAUAAGAUGUUUUACACAUGUCAAUAAAAUUUAUUGACAAAGAUUAAAAGUAUAGAGGUAUUGCUUGUGGUUUUCUGUUGCUUACCUGUGUGUUUCGCACCACCAGUUGACAGUGAAAAUAUUGACAAUUUAGUAAGACAAUAUUUUUAUGAUGGCUACACCGUGAAGGAAAUUGUAUCUACUAUUCUACUGGUUAACUAUAUUGUAGUCAGUGAAAGAACAGUGAAAAGAAUACUUCGACGAUUAAACCUUAGAAGGAAUACUGAAAGUAGUUUGAGUAGCAUUAUCAGGGGAGUCAGAUGGCUUCACACACAUGGAUAUAGGAAUUAUGGCUAUAGAUGGAUAUGAUGGAUAGGGUGUCUUCUCAAUAAUUCUCUAGGAAUACGGGCGUUCCAAGAAACUGUGAGACAUGUUUUGUCUGAGAUGGAUCCGGAAGGAGUAAGAGAACGGUAUCGAAGAAGAUUAAGAAGGCGACAAUAUGUAAACCGCGGCCCAAAUUUUGUUGUUCACAUCGACGGUUAUGACAAACUAAAACCCUUUGGAAUAUGUAUAUAUGGUGCGAUUGACGGAUUUUCGAGGAAACUUUUGUGGCCAAAAGCAGGGCCAUCGAAUAAAAAUCCCAAAGUCAUAUGUCAUUACUAUUUGAGCUUCUUAAUGGAGCUAAAACGCAUCCCAAGAGUGCUACGUUUUGAUGCUGAAACUGAAAAUGUACUUAUACGUGAUAUUCAUAUUGCUUUACGCAUGCAUCAUGUUGAUAACAUAUCUGGAUUUAACAGUUGUUCAACAGGGCGAUCAACAGCCAAUCAGAGAAUUGAAAUGUUGUGGAGCAUAUUAAGGAGAGGAUUUACUUCUCAAUGGAGAAAUAUGUUCAAAGAUAUGAUUGACGAGGGCACAUUAGACAACACGGACCCAAUUCAUUUGGAAUGUUUAUUACUUUGUUUUCUUCCAGCCAGUCAGAAACACCUUGAUGACUUUGUCGAAAGCUGGAACGGACACAGAAUUCGCUCUCAAAGAAACAACGAAUGCCCUACUAAUUCCAAAUAUAAUGUAUAACCAACCAUUGUUAUACAGAACAAGUGAUCAAUCUUUCGCAUUGCCAUGCGAGACCGAUGAUUUGCUAGUAUUAGCACAACGAUAUUCACAAACGCCACCUCUGUGCGGCUGUUCGUCUGACAUGCUGGAAUUAGCUCGUGUAGUAUCAGGAUUUGAUGAGAACUUCUUUUUACAAGUUCGCUCUCCAAACGAUUGUAAACAACUGUUUGAAAAUUUAAUGACUAACAUUUACAGACACCUUUAAGAAAAAUAAAGAUGUAGGCGUUUGUUUUAGAAACCUCAGCAACAUAACUGUUUACUUUUUUAAAUGGUUAUCCAAUAAAUACUGGCAAUGUAUUCACUGUUUAAGGCUCUCUUAAAUGUUGCACACAUGCGGCAUAACAUAUUUCAAGUACAUUCAUAAAAUAAAUAUAAUAUGGUAAUACAGUUAAUUUGGUAACAGGCAGCCACGUGAGUGCAACUAAAGACCGUGACUUGGUCGCCAUUUUCAUAAUUCUGUAUCUUUGAUCAUCAUUCAAAGUCAAUGUUUUUACAGAAAGACCAUAAAUUCAAGACAUUAAAUGUGAUUCUGACAUUAAACUAUUCAUUUGCAGCACAGGUAGUAUGUCAGAAUAAAAAUGGCAAA
rnacentral:lncRNA from 1 species